CUUCUAUCCAUUCCAUCCAUUCAAAUUCAAUCCCAUUCCAUCACUACUUUCUUCGCCCCCACUGCUGCCUACUCCUUCCAAUUUCAGCUCCGCUGUCACCGCCUCCUCCUUUUAGAGCCGGACUUCUCAUUUUCCAUUGCUACUCAGCUCACCUGCUCCCGUCUGGUCCUGUUUGUUCGAUUUGAGCGUCAACGGUUACGGUAGCAGCAAAAGUAGAUGCGUUCCUGACCGCCUGAUGUCGGUGAUUCUUCGGCUGCAGUAGAAGAACUGAAGAAACAGGGUUUUUUGAGAUCCUUAUUAGCAAUUGGCAGAGCUUGGAUAUGCUGAAGCUAGUCCGUGUAGCCUUGGCGUAACAAUUUUUUUUUUACUUUUUGAGAUAUAUUUUGUUUUAUAAAAUUGGUUGAUGUCGUGUCUGAAUUUUGAGGGGGUGAUGCUAAAAUAAGAAUUGAACUUCUUUAAAUAGCUUAUCUUGCUGAUUCAAUAGCAGAUUUUCCAAGAAUUGUUAAAUAUAAUUUCAGUGACCCUUAAGUUGUUGGAUUAUGUAUUUUCACUAAGUUAUCGUCUUGCUGAUUUCCACGGUUCCUUUUUCAUUAUGUGUAUUUGAUGGAUGGAGAGAACAUGCUUGGUUCAGCAAGUGUAUUAGUUUGAGUUCUUAUUCCUGUUAGGGUUCUCACAUAAAAAAGAAAGGAAGAAUUGACAUCAAAUAAGUAGUAACUGCUGCAGAGAAAGCUUACCAAGAAAAAGCACUAGUAGGUGUAAUCAGAUCUCAUGUGUUCUCAAAAUCAAUAGGAGAUGCUUAAGCUGCUAGUUACUGAUAUGAAGCCACUUUCUGUUCGGGACAUGUGUCCACAAUGGAGCCACUUUCCAGGUAAUGUAGUCUUAGUUUGCUCUAUAUGAUUUUAAUGUAUCCAUGAUAUCUUACUAAUACCUUUUCUAACUCAUAGAUGUGGUUUAGGAUCGGAAAAUUGAUGUAGUGAGUUGUUAGGAUCUUCCUCUAGCUGCUCAAGGUGAUUUUCAGGCUCAGUUAACCUUUAAACAUCGAAUCAACACCAAGAAACCGAAAGGGACCAACCACUGGCAUGCUUUCUUCCUAUGGUUGCUAUUGCUCCUUUUGCUUGUUGUUUCCUCACUCACUUAGGAUGAAUACCACACAGGUAAGGGUCACAAAGACUCAAGCAAGAGGUAGAGAAGAUCAAUCAAUAGGAUGCACGAAGAAGAAGAAGGGACUGCCUCUCUCUCGGGUUCUAUCAAAACGGGACUCAUAGGAAGAAAGAGAGUUACCAAUAUAUAUAAUAGUCCAAUGACAAACUUAAGCUUUGUUGGCCGUCGUGAAUUGUGUGGCUAGCAAAUCGAAGAGUGCAUGAAGGACAAUAUGAUUGAGUAUGCCGUCCGAGUAUUAUCCGGAAGCUGGUAUUGCAAGCGUGGCAAUAAGCUCUUCAUGCCUAAGCUGUAUCAAAAUUUUAUUCCUAGUUUUGUUUCACUUUGAAGCUCCUUUGUAUUUAGGUGGUGUUGUAUCACAUUCUAAUGUUCAAGUGUAUGGAUUCAAAAAUUUGUAAUGAAAUUAUCAAUUUUUAUGCAA